UCCAGUCUUUCAACCCCAUUGAAACUAAUGGUGCUGGCAAUGGGGGCGGGGUGAGGCUGCUCGCCGCAACGCCGGACAAGCCGGGCAUCACCGACAUGAUCGCCGCGUAGGGAAUCGCGACAAGGACGNNNNNNNUGAUGGCUGCCUUGAACGCCGCUGCGAGUAUCGUCGGCUGAUGCGACAACGAAAGGCCGGACUUUGAAAGCAUUGAGCCCCGACACGCGGGAGCAGAAUUCAAUU
rnacentral:misc_RNA from 1 species